GCGUCGCUGCGCGGUGCGUUUGAGACACAAUCCCCGGGGCCUUAAUGAUCCCCACGGGAGCUGUUCCUGACCGGGCCCGUGGGCCCGGACACACGGCGCCCACCUACGUUGUAGGUUCCCGGGAUCACAACCUCGGACGGCCGAGGCGGCUUCGCC
rnacentral:other from 1 species